rnacentral:rRNA from 1 species
AUUGAACGCUGGCGGCAGGCCUAACACAUGCAAGUCGAACGAGUGGCGGACGGGUGAGUAAUGUCUGGGAAACUGCCUGAUGGCGGGGGAUAACUACUGGAAACGGUAGCUAAUACCGCCUACCAUCGGAUGAGCCCAGAGGGGAUUGGCUGGGAGGUGGGGUAAAGGCUCACCUAGGCGACGAUCCCCAGCUGGUCUGAGAGGACGACCAGCCACACUGGAACUGAGACACGGUCCGUACUCCUCCGUGAGCCAGCAGGGGGGAAUAUUGGACAAUGGGCGAAAGCCUAAUCCAGCCAGGCGGGGUGUGUGAAGAGGGUUUUCGGAUUGUAAAGCACUUUAAGUUGGAAGGCGUUACCAACAGAAUAAGCACCGGCUAACUUCGUGCCAGCAGCCGCGGUAAUAC